GACAGAGGGUGCAAACGUUGUUCGGAAUUACUGGGCGUAAAGCGCGCGUAGGCGGCUUUUUAAGUCUGGUGUGAAAGGUUCAGGGCUCAACCCGAACAGUGCACUGGAUACUGGAGAGCUUGAGUUAGGGAGAGGAGAGUGGAAUUCCUGGUGUAGCGGUGAAAUGCGUAGAUAUCAGGAGGAACACCCAUGGCGAAGGCAGCUCUCUGGCCUAUAACUGACGCUGAGGUGCGAAAGCGUGGGGAGCAAACGGG
rnacentral:rRNA from 1 species